UUUUUAAGUGAGAAAGAAGGAAAUAAUUUACCAUUAGGAAGUGGGUUUGGAAGCGGCCAUCUUUUAAAGAAAGCGUAAUAGCUCACUAAUGAAGUUAUAUUUUUUUUAAAAUGUAGUGGGACUAAAAAAAUAUACCGACGCUGUGAAUAAUUAUAUAUAUUUUAUAUAAUUUUGGUAGUAAAACGUUUUGUAAGUUAAUAAAGUAUUUUUGUAAAAAAAUAUGAAGAUAUCAAAAGUGAGAAUGCUGGCAUGAGUAACGUUAAAUAAUCAGAAAAAGAUUAUCGCCGUAAGCUUAAGGUUUUCUAUUAUUGGAUAAUCCGAAUAGAGUUAGUCGGCCCCUUAGAUUACUUUAAUAUGAAAAUUUAUUUUAUUGAAGGGUAAAAGAAAUAAUAUUUCUUUAUUUAGGGUAUAGUGACAAAUUUUUUUUUUAUUUUAUUUUUAGUUUUAAGCUUUAUAAAUAUAGGUAAAAAAAAAUUUCGUGAAAAAGCUUCCCUUUUAAAACCGUACUAAAACCGACACAGGUAAGCAGGUAGAGUAUACUAAGGCGCUUGAGAUAACAAUAUUGAAGGAACUCGGCAAAUUGCAUCCGUAACUUCGGGAGAAGGAUGACCAACUAUAAAUUAUAUAUUUAUAUGUUGGUGGCACAGAAUUGGGGGUAGCGACUGGUUAUUAAAACCAUAGGAUUCUGCUAAGUAGUAAUAUUAUGUAUAGGAUCUGACGCCUGCCCAGUGUUGUAAGGUGAACUUGGAUUGUUAUUUUUAGCAUGAAGAUUAAGCCCACAGUAAACGGCAGCCGUAACUAUAACGGUUCAAAGGUAGCGAAAUUCUUUGUCAAUUAAUUGUUGACCUGCAUGAAUGGCGUAACGACUUCCCUACUGUCUCCAGUAUUGACUCAGUGAAAUUGAAUUCUCCGUGCAGAUGCGGAGUACUAAUAGCUAGACGGAAAGACCCUAUAGACCUUUACUGCAUUUAUGUAUUGUCAUAUAAGGUGCAAUGUGUAGGAUAAACAGUAACUUAUGAUACUUCAAUUUUGGUUGAAUGUGGAGGUGUCCUUGAAAUAUUGUUCUUUGUUAUCUUUAUGACUAAUUAGUUUUAACAGUGCAUAAUUGGUAGUUUUGCUGGGGCGGCAGGCUUUUAAAGAGUAACAAAGCUGUACAAAGGUAAGCUCAAAAUAAUUUAUGUUAUUUGUAGCGUUUAAUGGCAUAAGCUUGCUUGACUGUAAAAUUGAUAAAUUCAGCAGGGACGCAAGUCGGUCAUAUAGAUCCGAUGAUACCAGGUGGAUGGGUCAUCGCUUAACGGAUAAAAGGUACCUUAGGGAUAACAGGCUAAUAACUCUUGAGAGACCAUAUCGACGGAGUUGUUUGGCACCUCGAUGUUGACUCAUCACAUCCUGGAGCUGAAGUAGGUUCCAAGGGUUCGGUUGUUCGCCGAUUAAAGUGGUACGUGAGUUGAGUUUAGAACGUCGUGAGACAGUUUGGCCCCUAUCUACUAUUAGUGUUAAAAAAUUGAAAAGUGUUUUUUCUUGUACGAGAGGACCGAAAAGACAGUACCUAUGGUUUUCUGGUUAUUUUGGCUAUAAGUAGGCCAGUCAGCUACGUACAUAAACAUAACCACAGACGGCAUCUACGUGGGAAGGUUACUUUAAAAUAAAUUUUUAAAUUGGUAAUAGAGAAUUACUUUGAUAGGUCACAUGUAAAAGUAUAGUGAUAUAUUGAGCUUGUUGAUACUAAAA
rnacentral:rRNA from 1 species